AAUUACUUACAAGGGGAGGUCGCAGCUGUCGGGUCCGGGAUUUGGACAAUUUUUACAUAUGUUGGUCUACAGUCGAAGUGGGGAGACGCGUGUUCGAGCUUUCCUUCGGGUGCGCCUUGGGGCGUGCAGGGUCGGCCUCCGAAAGUCUUGGGUUUUUGAUAUCACUACUAUAUACUAUUGGGGGCGCUCUGCUUAUAAUGUGUGGGUGUGGCCUGGUGGUUGCGGUGCCUGGCUGUCAUGUGGUUUGUCGUGGGUUCGAUUCCUGAAGAUAAUUUUUUUUUUUUUUUUAAUAUAAUUAGAAAGUGCGAUGUUUUUGUUUAGAAUUGCCAUGAUGCUUUUAUUUGAAAGAUAACUUUUUUUUAUUUUAUAAAUAAUAACGUUAUAAUACGUAGAAUUUUCGC
rnacentral:lncRNA from 1 species